AGGGAAAUAACUCAGUGGUAGAGCGCAUGCUUAGUAUGCCCGAGGUCCUGGGUUCAAUCCCCAGUGCCUCCA
rnacentral:tRNA from 1 species